GAUGAACGCUGGCGGCGUGCCUAAUACAUGCAAGUCGAGCGAACAGACGAGGAGCUUGCUCCUCUGACGUUAGCGGCGGACGGGUGAGUAACACGUGGAUAACCUACCUAUAAGACUGGGAUAACUUCGGGAAACCGGAGCUAAUACCGGCUCAUAUAUUGAACCGCAUGGUUCAAUAGUGAAAGACGGUUUUGCUGUCACUUAUAGAUGGAUUCGCGCCGGAUUAGCUAGUUGGUAAGGUAACGGCCUACCAAGGCAACGAUGCGUAGCCGACCUGAGAGGGUGAUCGGCCACACUGGAACUGAGACACGGUCCAGACUCCUACGGGAGGCAGCAGUAGGGAAUCUUCCGCAAUGGGCGAAAGCCUGACGGAGCAACGCCGCGUGAGUGAUGAAGGUCUUCGGAUCGUAAAACUCUGUUAUUAGGGAAGAACAAAUGUGUAAGUAACUAUGCACGUCUUGACGGUACCUAAUCAGAAAGCCACGGCUAACUACGUG
rnacentral:rRNA from 1 species